AUGUGGGGGAUAACCAUUGGAAACGAUGGCUAAUCCGCAUGAUGCUACGGGCCAAAGAGGGGACCUUCGGCCUCUCGCGUCAGGAUAUGCCUAGGUGGGAUUAGCUAGUUGGUGAGGUAAGGGCUCACCAAGGCGACGAUCCCUAGCUGGUCUGAGAGGAUGAUCAGCCACACUGGAACUGAGACACGGUCCAGACUCCUACGGGAGGCAGCAGUGGGGAAUAUUGCACAAUGGGCGCAAGCCUGAUGCAGCCAUGCCGCGUGUGUGAAGAAGGCCUUCGGGUUGUAAAGCACUUUCAGUCGUGAGGAAGGUAGUGUAGUUAAUAGCUGCAUUAUUUGACGUUAGCGACAGAAGAAGCACCGGCUAACUCCGUGCCAGCAGCCGCGGUAAUACGGAGGGUGCGAGCGUUAAUCGGAAUUACUGGGCGUAAAGCGCAUGCAGGUGGUUUGUUAAGUCAGAUGUGAAAGCCCGGGGCUCAACCUCGGAAUUGCAUUUGAAACUGGCAGACUAGAGUACUGUAGAGGGGGGUAGAAUUUCAGGUGUAGCGGUGAAAUGCGUAGAGAUCUGAAGGAAUACCGGUGGCGAAGGCGGCCCCCUGGACAGAUACUGACACUCAGAUGCGAAAGCGUGGGGAGCAAACAGGAUUAGAUACCCUGGUAGUCCACGCCGUAAACGAUGUCUACUUGGAGGUUGUGGCCUUGAGCCGUGGCUUUCGGAGCUAACGCGUUAAGUAGACCGCCUGGGGAGUACGGUCGCAAGAUUAAAACUCAAAUGAAUUGACGGGGGCCCGCACAAGCGGUGGAGCAUGUGGUUUAAUUCGAUGCAACGCGAAGAACCUUACCUACUCUUGACAUCCAGAGAACUUUCCAGAGAUGGAUUGGUGCCUUCGGGAACUCUGAGACAGGUGCUGCAUGGCUGUCGUCAG
rnacentral:rRNA from 1 species